rnacentral:tRNA from 1 species
GUUUCCGUAGUGUAGUGGUCAUCACGUGCGUCUAACUCACGCAAGGUCCCAAGUUCGAUACUGGGCGGAAACA